CCUACGGGUGGCUGCAGUGGGGAAUCUUGCGCAAUGGACGAAAGUCUGACGCAGCGACGCCGCGUGGGUGAUGAAGGCCUUCGGGUUGUAAAGCCCUGUGGGGAGAGAAGAAUAAGUGCGGGCUAAUACCCCGCAUGAUGACGGUAUCUCCUUAGCAAGCACCGGCUAACUCUGUGCCAGCAGCCGCGGUACGACAGAGGGUGCAAACGUUGGUCGGAAUUACUGGGCGUCGGGCUGAUAAAGGCGGUGGGAAAGCCCCGGGCGCAACCCGGGAAGUGCACUCGAUACUGUUAGGCUAGAGUACUGGAGAGGUUGGUGGAAUUCUCGGUGUAGAGGUGAAAGUCGUAGAUAUCGAGAGGAACACCGGUGGCGAAGGCGGCCAACUGGACAGAUACUGACGCUGAGACACGAAAGCGUGGGGAGCAAACAGGAUUAGAUACCCCGGUAGUC
rnacentral:rRNA from 1 species